rnacentral:rRNA from 1 species
AUUGAACGCUGGCGGCAUGCCUUACACAUGCAAGUCGAACGGCAGCACGGGAGCAAUCCUGGUGGCGAGUGGCGAACGGGUGAGUAAUAUAUCGGAACGUGCCCAGUCGUGGGGGAUAACGUAGCGAAAGCUACGCUAAUACCGCAUACGAUCUAUGGAUGAAAGCGGGGGAUCGCAAGACCUCGCGCGAUUGGAGCGGCCGAUAUCAGAUUAGGUUGUUGGUGGGGUAAAAGCUCACCAAGCCUGCGAUCUGUAGCUGGUCUGAGAGGACGACCAGCCACACUGGAACUGAGACACGGUCCAGACUCCUACGGGAGGCAGCAGUGGGGGAAUUUUGGACAAUGGGCGCAAGCCUGAUCCAGCAAUGCCGCGUGCAGGAUGAAGGCCUU